rnacentral:rRNA from 1 species
GAUGAACGCUGGCGGCGUGCCUAAUACAUGCAAGUCGAGCGAACGGACGAGGAGCUUGCUCCUCUGACGUUAGCGGCGGAAGGGUGAGAAACACGUGGAUAACCCACCUAUAAGACUGGGAUAACUUCGGGAAACCGGAGCGAAUACCGGAUCAUAUAUUGAACCGCAUGGUUCAAUAGUGGAAGACGGUCUUGCUGUCACUUAUAGAUGGAUCCGCGCCGCAUUAGCUAGUUGGUAAGGUAACGGCUUACCAAGGCAACGAUGCGUAGCCGACCUGAGAGCGUGAUCGGCCACACUGGAACUGAGACACGGUCCAGACUCCUACGGGAGGCAGCAGUAGGGAAUCUUCCGCAAUGGGCGAAAGCCUGACGGAGCAACGCCGCGUGAGUGAUGAAGGUCUUCGGAUCGUAAAACUCUGUUAUUAGGGAAGAACAAAUGUGUAAGUAACUAUGCACGUCUUGACGGUACCUAAUCAGAAAGCCACGGCUAACUACGUG